UGGGGAUAGAACAUUGCAAUUAUUGUUCUUCAACGAGGAAUGCCUAGUAAGCGCGAGUCAUCAUCUCGCGUUGAUUACGUCCCUGCCCUUUGUACACACCGCCCGUCGCUCCUACCGAUUGAACGUGCUGGUGAAGCGUUAGGACUGGAGCCUUGGGCCGGUUCGCCUGCCCAUCGCUUCGGGAAUUUCGUUGAACCCUCCCGUUUAGAGGAAGGAGAAGUCGUAACAAGGUCUCCGUAGGUGAACCUGCGGAGGGAUCAUUGAAACCGAUCAAACCACUCACAGAGCACCGCGGGCAGGCUGCAGCUGCGGCUGCGUCGUCCGCCGUAGAAUCUCAGGGACCCGGCCCCCUCGGGGGCCGGGCGCCCGACCCAACCCAAUCAACCCUUCUGCCCUGAAGCAGCUUCGCACGGGGACUCCCCGCGCGGCGUUAACUGAGACAACUCUCAACAACGGAUAUCUUGGCUCUCGCAACGAUGAAGAACGCAGCGAAAUGCGAUACGUAGUGUGAAUUGCAGAAUUCCGUGAAUCAUCGAAUCUUUGAACGCACAUUGCCGGUCGACUCUCCGGAGGAGACCACAUCUGCCUCAGCGUCGGAAUACCCCCUCACACUCUCCCGAGAGCGUGGACCUGGCCCCCCCGGACUCUGCGCGAGCUUCGGGCCGGCUGAAAUGCAGAGGCUCGUCCGCGGCCCACUGACGUGGCCCCGACUAGGUAGGUAGCUCGCUACUGCUAGGCGGCGGCCCGGCGCCGCGGGCUCUGGGCCAAAAGGAUAACCCCAUUCCAUCGACCUGAGUUCAGGUGAGGCUA
rnacentral:rRNA from 1 species